rnacentral:rRNA from 1 species
AACGAACGCUGGCGGCGCGCCUAACACAUGCAAGUCGAACGAGAAGGCGUAGCAAUACGCUUGUAGAGUGGCGAACGGGUGAGUAAUACGUGGGUGACCUACCCUCGAGUGGGGAAUAACCCGCCGAAAGGCGGGCUAAUGCCGCGUACGCUUCCGUCCUCACGGGGACGGAAGGAAAGCUGUACCGUGGGUACGGCGCUCAAGGAUGGGCUCACGUCCUAUCAGCUUGUUGGUAGGGUAACGGCCACCAAGGCUACGACGGGUAGCUGGUCUGAGAGGACGAUCAGCCACACUGGCACUGCGACACGGGCCAGACUCCUACGGGAGGCAGCAGUGAGGAAUAUUGCGCAAUGGGCGAAAGCCUGACGCAGCGACGCCGCGUGGGGGA